GAAAAAAGAAAAAAGCCUUUCCUUUUUUUAAUCCUAAUGUAUUCCUUUUCCUCCCUUGUUCUCGCGCGUGAUCAAAGCUAGCCCUUUCUUUCUUCUAUGGAGGACGUGACUUGGUGUACCUAUAUCUCCAGCCAAAGAGUUGAAAGAGUUGGAUGGCUGAGGACGGUCACAGAGUUGUCCUGAAUGUGUAUGAUUUCAGCCAGGGGCUUGCUCGCCAGCUUUCAAUUGACAUUUCUAGGCAAGGCCAUCGAUGCCCAUACGGUAAGCUCCUCUCCCUGCAGAUGCCACCAUGCUCUUUAACUCCAUCUGCAAAUUUGGAUGGAACCGUAGAAUGGCCAGUCACAUUUUCUGAAUUAUUCAUGUGCUAUCACUUAUGAGUUUCUGUCCAAUGGUCAAUGACAGAUGAUGGAUUUAUGCAAAUCUAGCCUUCUGGGUUUUCAUGGUAAUCACAGAAGAGUUCAAAGAACCUGAAAUGCUCUGAAUCUAUCCCUACUGCAUUGGCCAUCAUAGAAAACUGCUUGUCCAAAGACAUAGGAGAAUUAGCAUUCAUUGUUAUGCCUUAGCCAAGUAUCAGAACCCAACCAUGGGACUUACUCACCACCAUAAACUUAGCAAGAAGUUAAUAGCACUGCACGUCUUACUUUCUGUCCCACCUCAGAAUGAUCUUCUACCUCCAUGUACCCAUUAGCCUAUUUUUGUUCGCCUCAUGCUCUCUUUUCUCAAUCUUCAGAAAUAUGUGUCAGAGAUUUGGUAAUUUCCAUGAUAAUAUAAUUAUCUUGAAAGAUUAAUUUGAAUUCCCUAAAUCCUGCCAAACCAAUCUAACAUCCAUGAUUAUGUCGUAUGAUCUUCAGAGUUGCCUAUUUGAAUGAAGUUUAUGGCUGUGGAACGGCAUACAGUUUCUUCUAGAUUUCUUGUUCCUUCUCCUCUUUCCUUCCCUGGUCAGAAUACUUGUUGCAAGUUCAUCGAUCACCAAUCCAUAUGCUUGGUAUUUGCAUUAUUGCAAGCUAUCUCAUCCUUCUGUUUGAUUUCUUUAAUGUGCAAAACAAGUCGCGGAAGGCGCCCAAUGAGAGUCAAAGGUUGAAAAUGUUUUUCCCUGGUUCUCUUUUUUUCUCUUCUGUGAUUUGGGUGUUUAGAAGGCUUUCCUUUUUUCUUGUAGAUCAAACUUCUUCGUCAAAGACUGUAAUGACACACAUUUUGUUUGAACUGUUAUCAUAUGUUGUGUUUCACAUGAUUUGUGCAGCAUAUUGACAAAAAAACUAUUUUAUCAAAGGUGAUAUGGUUUGUAUUUUCAGUCGUAUAUUUUGUUUCACAUGAUUUAUCCUUUAAAUCCAUAUAUAGGUCAGCUGACAUCAGAGUUGCUGUCGAUUAUUACCUGUGAAGGGUCAGGAAGAUGGUUAGUGAACUGUUAGUUUAGGUAAGCUAGAUAUCCUCUCUGUGUAGUUAGGGCCCAUGCCGUAGCAGUCUAUAGUUUUGUGGGCAUAGUCGCAGCUGCCAUGUUACUGCCUUGUUCCGAGCCAAUUGCAAUAAAGGACAUCUACUCAGCCUCUGGUUGGUUAGUUUUUGCCAUGUUGCAUGUGUGUUGCUAUCAGACUCUGGCUUGGCAGCACAGAUUCUUCAUACUCAAAAUAAUAUGCUACAAAAAUUUUGACUUUUUAUAGUUGAUUAUGACGCGUGCAUGCUUAUGCGUAAUGUCAAUCAGCAAACAGAUCAAAUAAUUGCCAGUCCUUUCAAAAUAAGUCAAAUUAUGCCUUAUAUUUGCUUAUGCAUGAUAACAAUAGGCAGCCAGAAAACUUUGCAUAGUUUUUGAAGAUUUCGAUUACUGCUUAUGAAUAAUUUAUGGAGAAUCUUGCCCCUUUCAACAUACUGAGCCCUGUGCUCUAUUUUCCUUUCUUUUCUUUUCUUUUCUUUUGUUCUCAAUCAAAAUCAGUUGUAUUUGUUUGAUUUAAGGUUACAGCCUGCGACAUUGAAAAAAAAAAAAAAAACUCACGAGUCAGGAGGAAAUGCGAUAUAAUGUCUCACAUGUAUUGUCCUGCUGGAGGGUGCUUCUAGUAGUUCGCAGCUGGUGUUUUGCCUUCAGAUUGUCAUCAAGUUUAUAAGUUCUAUUUUGAUGCAUGCCAUAGACUAUUGCUGUUGCAUUUGGAAAUUUUAUUGAACAUGCAUAAGGGACUUGACUUUAAUCUCUAGUACACAUGGGGUGAGACAACCAUUAGAACUUCAAGUCUGAUUCUGAGUUUGUAGCAAGUUAGACUGUCAAACUUUUAUUGAUACCUAGAGAACCCAUAAAGAGGAAGUUUUGUGCAUUGUAUUUGUAUUUACUUUCUUUUUCAUUGUGUUCUGCACUUUCUGCACCGCUCUUUCUUUUAGUCUGUCAUAACCCAGUUCUUUUUUGGGGGCAUGUGGGCUGGCCCGAAGAUGCCAGGCCCAAGCCAAUCGCGCCAAACCCUGUUUCUGCGGGCUUGUAGGCCUGCCCGAAGAGGCCAGGCCCAGCUCGAUUGUGCACAAUGGCACGAUCUAGACGGAUGAGAGACUCCAAUGGGAGUCUGCUUCCUCUCUUGAUUUUGGCGGAGUCGGAGACUCUCCAAGGGCAAUCCGAGUUUGACUUGAACUCUAGGAUAAUGCCUAUUUAAUUCCCCUCUUCCUCCUUUGAAUUCCACCACUGGAAUCGCCGAGGAUCGCCGCCAAUCUCAACCAUCCUUCUCCGAUUCUCCUCCUCGAUUCAAGUUAAUAAGAAACGGAUAAUAUGACAUAAGAAAUUGUUGUUGAACAAUUGGUUAUAUAUAUAUAUAUAUAUAUAUGUAUAUGUAUAUAUAUAUGCUUCUUUGAAAAGAUGAUAAUGAGAACUGAUGUGCAUGUUGUUUAUGAGUUUUCCGACUAUUCAUAUGAUAUUCAGUUAUCUAGCCUUAUUAAUUGACUAUUUUCUUAUUAUUUAUGAUGUAGCAGUUUGGGUUUUUUACUGGGCUGAAAAAGCUCAUAAUUUUCUUACUUUUUUCUCAGAGUCACAAGAGGCAUAGACUCGAAUGGGAGAGAUGUGGAGUUUGUGCAGCUAGUCAUUAGUUAGUUAUUUAUUUAUUUUAUUUUGCUGAAAGUGAUGGAUAUCGAAAAAUUUAUAAUUGAAGUAUUAAAGAAUUAAUGAAAGUGGAUUAGUUUAAUUGUUGGUAUUGUGUGAAUUAUGCCCAUAUGUUAGGCCUAGCAUAUUUUCUAGGGCUUUGCCCUAGGGAGUGUGCAGUCGUCCUGUGUUUCGGACCCGAGUGUUGGAUUCGGGGCGUGACACUGUCUCCCCCCAAUAAUCAUUGCCCAUGAAUUAUUUUGACUUGAUUGCUCUCUCUGGAAACUAACCUAUUCUUAAUUAUCUGUAUAGAUGGAUCCUAAUAGGCAAUUCUCUUCCCUCAUUAUUUUUGCAAUAUGUGAACCAUAACACGCAUUCAGGAGCGGUGGUAUAUGGAUAUGAAUACUCCUUUGUGGGAGGCAUUCAGCGUGAUCCUGCUGGAAUGACACCUUAUGGUGCGCCUGUCCGGGUGAUCGAGCUGGGGGUGACUCACAUGCCUAAGUAUUUGAGGAAUAUUUGCAGGAGAUCGGCCUGCGUUGCACUGCUGAGACCUAUAAACUUACUAAAGUCACAACAGCUGCAAAAAUUUCAGCAAUGAGGUUGCUGAAUUUCUGGUUGGCACCACUAUCCCGGACUCCAUCCUUAAUCUUCCAAAUGAAAGUUAUGAGCAGCCCAAUGGGUCCCCUAAUAUGCAAGAGCAUUUGUAUGGCUUCACAGAUAUCCAUUGCAUUGUGCUGAUAGUUUCUCGCUAAUCUCGAUGCUUUAUUGUUCAUCUGCGGUACAAAUGAUUCAACUGUAGGAAUCAACAUUGAGAGUUGGUGCAGUUCCUCAAGCUCCUCGGUUCGCACCUGCUGCUGCCAUGGCUCAGUCUUAUCAUUUCAAGCCCAAGCAAUCGCGCAAACACUGUGAAACUGGAGAACCAGAAACAGGAGAUGCAGUCCCUCCUGCAGUGGAAUCUGCCACUACACAACAGGAGAAGGAAACCUUCUGCCAGUGGCCCCCUUGGAGAUGCUCAGAGUAGGGUGCAGGAAGAGAUCAUGAAAGAGUUUGCAGCGAUCAUGGCUACUGGAAUGCUUCGUGCUAGCGAGGCAGCGACACUUGCCACAAGGAGAGCAAUGGAGAGGCAUCGGUGCUUAAAUUUGCCCAUGCAGCAUGGUUGAAGAGCCGCAGGUUGCAUUGUUUUUUUUUUCAUAGCAGAAAUUAAUAUCUAAACCGUUCUUUUGCUGCCAGAGAUGUCUGCUGUCUUUCUGGAAUGCGAACCAUGACGGCUUGUAUGCUUUUGCAAACUUUGUCCGCCUGUGGAAUCAAUUAUACUUUUACUGCCAUGGUUCAAUGAAAUAUGAUGUACCAUGUCGAACAAAUGUUGAACUUGUCAUAUUAAUAGUGAAAUAGAAGAAUAAGAGUCUGAGAUAUCUAUCGAUGUUUAUUACUUUGCAUCAAA